rnacentral:tRNA from 1 species
CAAGAAGUAGUUUAUAAAAAAUUUUAAUUUUGGAGAUUAGAGAUGGAGGAUUAUCCUUUCUUGA